rnacentral:tRNA from 1 species
GAGGAUAUAACUUAGUACGGCUUAAAGUGCUGGUCUGUCACGCCAGAAAUCACGGGUUCAAAUCCCGUUAUCCCCG